UACAGAGACUGCAAGCGUUAUUCGGAUUCACUGGGCGUAAAGGGCGCGUAGGCGGCCUGUUAAGUCGAACGUGAAAUCCCCGGGCUCAACCCGGGAACUGCGUCCGAUACUGGCAGGCUUGAAUCCGGGAGAGGGAUGCGGAAUUCCAGGUGUAGCGGUGAAAUGCGUAGAUAUCUGGAGGAACACCGGUGGCGAAGGCGGCAUCCUGGACCGGCAUUGACGCUGAGGCGCGAAAGCCAGGGGAGCAAACGGG
rnacentral:rRNA from 1 species